GAUGAACGCUGGCGGCGUGCCUAAUACAUGCAAGUCGAGCGAACAGACGAGGAGCUUGCUCCCCUGACGUUAGCGGCGGACGGGUGAGUAACACGUGGAUAACCUACCUAUAAGACUGGGAUAACUUCGGGAAACCGGGCUUAAUACCGGUAAAUAAAUUAAACCCCAGGGUCAAUAGGGGAAAGAGGGUUUGGCUGUCACUUAUAGAUGGAUCCGCGCCGCAUUAGCUAGUUGGUAAGGUAACGGCUUACCAAGGCAACGAUGCGUAGCCGACCUGAGAGGGUGAUCGGCCACACUGGAACUGAGACACGGUCCAGACUCCUACGGGAGGCAGCAGUAGGGAAUCUUCCGCAAUGGGCGAAAGCUUGACGGAGCAACGCCGCGUGAGUGAUGAAGGUCUUCGGAUCGUAAAACUCUGUUAUUAGGGAAGAACAAAUGUGUAAGUAACUAUGCACGUCUUGACGGUACCUAAUCAGAAAGCCACGGCUAACUACGUG
rnacentral:rRNA from 1 species